AACCAUUCGAAUCACAUUUGUGCGACGAAGAUGCGCUAUCCGUUAUUAUCAAUAACGAAGAACGGUUACAACAUAUUAAAACGUAGAAUGCUCCUCUUUAUUGUAAAUACAAGCUUAGAAGUAGUUUCAUCAUUGGAAGAUUCUAAAGAAUUAUGAAGUUUCUAAAGAACUAUGUGUAUCAUUGGUUCUCUGAUUCGAUCUUAUUUAUUGAAAAACGAACAUAUGGCUAGAAAUAGUAAGAUAUAUGCGCACAGUGACGUUGUCUUUAAAUAAUGAAACAGAAAAAGUGUAUUGAAAGCAUCGUUGAGUAAUCAUCAGAACAGCUCGUAAAUCCAGCGGUGUGACAAGUUUUACUUUAAAUAAUCCACGAGGCUCGAAACGAUUUGGCAGCAGCAGAAUUACGGUCUUUAUAUAUAGAGACCGGGAUCCGUUGAUUAAGAAUCACGAUUAGUAUUUAUUUCGGUCGUGUUUGGGCUGGAUUCCACGCUGCUAAACUUGGCGUGACUUGGUCGUCCGCUGCAACCUACUCUAUUAGCCCCGAUGACCCUUGUACGGAGUGAUAGCAAAAGGUUCUAGGCAUUAUUCGAAUUUGAAGUUGGGACGUGGAUCACCGGACUGUGGCCAAUUUCGAGGAUCAAAGGCAUAACGGUUCGUUCUAUCGUUCGACUUCCCGCGCCACAUGGAUUCCAAAACGGUAUACUUUUGGAACGUGGAAUGUAGACCUGUGUAGUAUUAAAGAAAUUAUUUUGGUUUAAGUAACAGUAUCUUGAUAGUUAUAUAUUACAUGGUAAAAAGUUGUGACAAAGCUUUCGCUUUUGGAAAAUUAACAGAUAUAACCUAGUUUUAUGUGCAACGUAGAAACAAUCAUGAACAGAAUGUCGAAUGCGAAAAGGGUAGAAUUUUUUUAUACUGAACAUAAUAAUAUAAUGGUAGAAAUUAUGAUACAUUGAAAUUUGGAAAAAGAAUAUAUUAAAGGUAAUUCAUAGUAAGAUCAUAUGUCCCAAUUAUACUUCAGUAGUAACAGAAGUAUUAUAAUAUCUGAGAAGUCUGUCUAAAAAUUACCUCAUUUACUUAUCGUCCAAUCAAUGUUACAGCAAUCAAAUUGUGCUUUUCAUAACCUAUUUUAUCGUUUUUAAUUCUAUUAAAUUAUUAUAAUAACUUCCCACUUAAAUUAAAUUGGUUUAAAUAUACAUUGAAAAGAAUAAUCUACAAUUUAAAAAUAAUAUCUAAUAAAAAUAUAAUCUAAAAACAGAAUAUAUUUAGCAAAUAUUAUCACGAUAAAUUCUGCACUAAUAAGCAGGAUAUUCGGUUUAAAAUGUAAAUGUAAUUAUGAUGCAGUCAUCCUAAGUCGAAAGGCAAGGAUUAUAAGAAAUAAAUAAAUGAACUGGAUAUUUAUCUCUAAUUGCGCGAUUAAUUGUGACAAGUAAAAGGAGAUUAACACAAGUAAAAUAUGAAGAGACACGAUAAAAGGUUGAGAGAAAAAUUAUCGGUCGGUAAUGAAAUAUUGGCGAUGAUCUAUCGAAAAGCGUAACUGCUCGUAAUAGGUGAAUAAGAAAAAAUGAUCGAGAAACAACGUGUAUUACAACAGAACAUUGGAACAAACUGUUUCGGAUUAUAAAUUCCCAAUUCAUUGAGCAAUUGUCAUGGCAAACGAAAUUCUGGCUUUCAAUUAACGUAUCACGUUCACUGAUCCGUUCACUUUCUCAUAUACGGUUUACAAACCUGUAUACUUGCGGAUGUGUAACUGAACAAAGGAAUUGAUCUCCUUAAGUACACGUAAAUCAAGGAUAAAGGAAAUGAAAAUGUGAAUUGAAAAUAAGAGAACAAAAACGCUCGAAUGAAGCACGAAUAAAAAGUAAACAAAGAAAAUAAAUAAAAAGAUUGAUUAUACAAUGAAUAAGGAAUUGAAACAGAAAUAGAUUGAAAAUAAAUAAAAAUAUUAGCAAAAGAUUAUGUGUGCAUUUACAAAAAUAAACAGGCGAUAUCACUUGAGUAAAGGGUUAAAAGAAUGCAGGUUACUUCAAUUUCUCGAGAACAUGCAGUACGUAUGUAAGUGUAGUAACUGCUGCAAAUACUUUAUCUUGAUAUGUAUGAAAUGGCAAAUAAAACAGCAUAAAUUGUAAUAAUACCUUAUCCAUGACAGAAGUUAAAAUAUCCUUGUGACUUACACAAACAACAAAGACGAUAACAAAGACGAUAAAAAU